rnacentral:lncRNA from 1 species
CAGCCUGAACAGACACUCAUGCAGAACUUGGCAGGAUUUUGCCUCUUGUACUGUAGCAGUUCCUGCAGGUACAGCCUGAAGGUGACCCAGCUCUCUGCCAGACAGUGGCACAGCUCAGGGACACUGAGCAGGUGAGGCUGUGCCCCUGAAGUCACCCCCUCACUGUCCCCUCCUGUCUCCUCUGAUGGCUGAGCUGGGAAGUCAAACAGGAACCUGGGCUUCCAUCUCUCCAGCAAGAGGAUGCCAAGGAGAGACAUGCUGAGGAGAAAGAGGGGUCUCAGGGAAGUGGAGGAAAACAACCAGAGCGCCCCGCCGAGCGCGGCGGCGGUCACCAGGCUGUGCAGCGGCCUCUCCCACACCAGCAGCCGCUGCGCCGCCGCCAGCGCCGCCUCCCAGCCCCGCAGCCGCUGCCGCAGCGCCGACGCCAACCGCUCCGCCGCCGCGGCCGCCGCCUCCUCCUCCUCCUCCUCGGCCGCCGCCGCCGCCGCCUCCUCGGCGCGGGCGGUCGUGGCCAUGGCUGCGCGCUGGCGGGGCGGAAGGGGGCGCCGUCGCCGCCGCCGUCGCCGGUAGCGUUAGCGGCGCUGCAGCGGCCCGGCGGGGCGGCACCGCCUGACGGGGACCGGCGGCCGCUGGCGCCGUGCGCGUGCGCGGCCCGCCC